UAAAAUUUAAUUUAAAUUCAAAUUCAUAAGUUAGAUUCGAAAUACUUAAUUAAAUUUUAAUUUUUAAUUUAAGUUCAAAUUAAAAUUUAAAAUUAUAUAUUUAAUUUUUAAAUUUUAACUCAUAUUUUAAUUAAAAAAAUUAAAAAAAUAAAUUUAAUCCGAAUAAAUAUCCAUUCCGUCCGGAUUCAACUUUCAAUCCGGCCUCCUAGGCCGGAUUGAAAAAAGAGGUGAUUGGGGGAUUCCCAUUCUAUUCGGGAAUCGAAAUCGGAAUGGGACUCCCGCGUACCAAACACCCACAAACGGAUUCACCCAUUCCGAUUUCGAUUCUAGGGUAAAAAAGAAGCGAACCAAACACGCCCUAGGUUUCAUGCCACUCACCU
rnacentral:lncRNA from 1 species